GUGUUUGCUUCAGCAGCACAUAUACUAAAAUUGGAAUGAUAAAGAGAAGAUUAGCAUGGCCCGUGAACAAGGAUGAUACGUAAAUUCAUGAAGCAUUCCAUAUUUUU
ensembl:snRNA U6 U6 spliceosomal RNA